GGCCUUGACAUACUAAGAACUUUCCAGAGAUGGAUUGGUGCCUUCGGGAACUUUAGAUACAGGUGCUGCAUGGCUGUCGUCAGCUCGUGUCGUGAGAUGUUGGGUUAAGUCCCGNAACGAGCGCAACCCUUUUCCUUAUUUGCCAGCGGGUCAUGCCGGGAACUUUAAGGAUACUGCCAGUGACAAACUGGAGGAAGGCGGGGACGACGUCAAGUCAUCAUGGCCCUUACGGCCAGGGCUACACACGUGCUACAAUGGUCGGUACAAAGGGUUGCUACCUCGCGAGAGGAUGCUAAUCUCAAAAAGCCGAUCGUAGUCCGGAUCGCAGUCUGCAACUCGACUGCGUGAAGUCGGAAUCGCUAGUAAUCGCGGAUCAGAAUGCCGCGGUGAAUACGUUCCCGGGCCUUGUACACACCGCCCGUCACACCAUGGGAGUUUGUUGCACCAGAAGUAGGUAGUCUAACCGCAAGGAGGACGCUUACCACGGUGUGGCCGAUGACUGGGGUGAAGUCGUAACAAGGUAAGCGUAGAUGA
rnacentral:rRNA from 1 species